UAUGUAGGGGGCUAGCGUUGUCCGGAAUCAUUGGGCGUAAAGCGCGUGUAGGCGGCUCGGUAAGUCCGCUGUGAAAGUCCAGGGCUCAACCCUGGGAUGCCGGUGGAUACUGUCGGGCUCGAGUCCGGAAGAGGCGAGUGGAAUUCCUGGUGUAGCGGUGAAAUGCGCAGAUAUCAGGAGGAACACCAAUGGCGAAGGCAGCUCGCUGGGACGUGACUGACGCUGAGACGCGAAAGCGUGGGGAGCAAACAGG
rnacentral:rRNA from 1 species